rnacentral:snRNA from 1 species
GUGCUCACUUUAGCUGUACAUAUACUAAAAUUGGAAUGAAAAGAUUAGCAUGGCCCCUGCUCAAGGAUGACAUGCAAAUUUUUGAAGCAUUCCAUUUAAAA